rnacentral:rRNA from 1 species
AACGAACGCUGGCGGCAUGCCUAACACAUGCAAGUCGAACGAGACCUUCGGGCCUAGUGGCGCACGGGUGCGUAACGCGUGGGAACCUGCCCUUAGGUUCGGAAUAACUCCCCGAAAGGGGUGCUAAUACCGGAUAAUGUCUUCGGACCAAAGAUUUAUCGCCAUUGGAUGGGCCCGCGUUGGAUUAGCUAGUUGGUAGGGUAAAAGCCUGCCAAGGCGACGAUCCAUAGCUGGUCUGAGAGGAUGAUCAGCCACACUGGGACUGAGACACGGCCCAGACUCCUACGGGAGGCAGCAGUGGGGAAUAUUGGACAAUGGGCGAAAGCCUGAUCCAGCAAUGCCGCGUGAGUGAUGAAGGCCUUAGGGUUGUAAAGCUCUUUUACCCGGGAUGAUAAUGACAGUACCGGGAGAAUAAGCUCCGGCUAACUCCGUG